GGGUGGAGGAACAGGGUCUGACAAAGGGAUUUCAAAGUCUUGCUUUGAAAACAGCUUUAGAAUGCUCUAAGCCAAUUGCAAUUAAAGUUCUAAUGGAAAUCUCAUAGGGUAGUGAGUUCAGGAGGUUUUCUAACUAGAAUAAACACAGCCACUAAUUAGUGAUCUUGGAUAAGUCACAUACACACACAGGUAUAACUGGUGGCUAUUUUGUCACGAUGCACUUCUCUACCUGACUCUCCAAAGCCUACUGUCAUAGCUGUGUGCUCUGCUGAGUCCACUACUCUGUGCUGCCUACUAGCAAACAGCAACCUGGCUUUUCAGAUAGCAUAGUUCAGAGUACCCACACAUCUUGCCACCAUGCAUGGGUGCCCCACCUUGCUUGACCUUCUCCUAGGGUCCCUUUAAGGCAUUCAGAAACAGGAACAUAGUUGUCCAGAGCUAAUCAUGAAGAUGGCUGUAUGGCUGUAACUGAGAGCUGUGGCGGGGGGCGAUGAGUGGGCUCUGUGCUCAGAAGCCUGUGUAGCAGAUCUGUUGUUCAAGGCCAGAAAGGGCCAGGGAGAAAGGCCAGGCAGGAGGCCGAGAAGAAGGAAGUGAUUCCAGAAAGGUAUCACCAUUCCUCAGUUACGAAACCCAAGUGAGACCACAAUAUCCUGACUUCCAGCCUAGAGCUAUCUGUAAUGCGAUAAAUCUCUUCACAGGAGCAUAUACAUUGGGAACGGGAACUCUCACAGGAGAUUCUCUCCCUUGUUGAUUGGAAAAAGCCAGCUGCCAUGUUGUGAGUAUCCCAUUUAAAAGGGCUAUAUGGCAAGGAACUGAGGGCAGCCUUCAGCUGACAGCCAGCAAGAAACCAAGAUCCUCAGUCUGGUAGCUUGCAAGGCACUGAAUUCUGCCAACAACUGCGUGAGCUUGGAAGUGGAUCCUUCCUCAGUUAAGCCUUGGACAAGACCCAAGCCCUGUUGGACGCUUUAAUUACAGCCUUGCAGAGAACCCAGCUAAGGCAUGUUCAGACCUGAUCCACAGAAACUGUGAGAUAAUCAAUGUGUGUUGUUUUAAGCCUCUAAGUGUGUGGUAAUUUGUUACACAGCACUGGUUAGCUAACACAGAUACCUAGACAGCUGGUAAAGCAUUAUUUCUGGAUGUGUCUGUGAGGGUGUUUCUGGAGGAGAUUGGCAUGUGAGUCAGUGAACUCUCUGGGCAAGAGCUGCCCUCAAGGUAGGUGGGCACCAUCCAAUGUUGUUUUGUUGUAUCUAGGGGCCCAGAUACAACAAAAAGGCAGAGGAAAGGUGAAUUCACUCUCUCUCUCCUGAAGCUGGGGUACUUUUAUCUCUUGCCCUUGGACAUCAGAACUCCAGGUUCUCGGGCCUUUGGACUCUGGGACUUGCACCAGCUCCCGGCUUCUCAGGACUUCAGCCUCAGAUUGAGAGUCACACCAUUAACUUGCCUGGUUUAAAAGCCUUUAUACUUGGACUGAGAAACACCAACAGCUUCCCUGGGCUUCCAACUUGCAGAUGACCUAUCACAGGACUUCUCAGCCUCCAUAAUUGCAAUGGCCAAUUCUCCUAAUGAGUCCCCUUUCACAUAUCUAUUUAUCUACAUACAUAUAUCCUACUGGUUCUGUCUUUCUCAGGAACCCUGACCAAUACAGUAUGUAUCUCUAAAAGAUAAGGACAUCAAAAAAUAUUACCACGUCUAAAAAUAAAGUGAUUUCUUAACUUCAUGAAAUAUCGAAUUGCUCUCCAAAUUUUCACAAUUACAAAAGUCCACAUGUUGCAUUUAAUUUUAAUGUCUCUUAAUUCUCCCUUGAUUUUGAGAUUGCCUUUUAAGUAAGGCAGUUUAGCUACCUAGUUUCACUCUAGCCCAUCCAAGGUGUUUCCAAAAACCUCACCUUCACACUAACCACAACCAUUAUAAGCUGCUUCUUAAACGAUGAGAGCUCUCACUCUCUAAAAGGAAUUCUAAGCAUACCUCUUAAAGUAAUACCCUAUUAUAUCUCUACUAAGUUUAUAAUCAUAAAGAAUGUGGAUAUUUGCAUUCUCAUUUUACGGAUGGGAAAAUUAGUGUAGGUAACACAUAUGGAGAAGUGAUAAAUAGCAAUGGUUUCCAAGAAUGAUGACGAUUUCAGUGUGAACAGAGAGUAGCAACGGCAAGAGAUACAGCUAAGUAAACGUGGAUGGUGAAGGGCCCAUUCUGCCUUGUUAAAAGGUUUGAACCCACCCUAUAGACAAUGAAUCACUCAGUGAAUCACUGAGCAAUUUUAAUUAUGGAAGCAACGUGAUCAGAUUUAUAUUUAAGGCAAGAGGAUUGGUGGCAAUGUAGAAGGCAAACACAAGUCAGAAAGAGUUAGAAGUAAGAAAAGUGAGUAGUCUGAAGAAAUUGGACACAUAAGAGAUGAGGGGGCUGGAAUGACUAACUAUGCAUCUUAUUCUGAAAUAUGUCUCUUAGGUAAUUGAUUAUUGAUACCCCACAUCCAAAUAGUGGGACAGUUAACUGAGAUGUCAGAGCCAGCCUUUUCAACACUUCUAGAGAGAAAUUUUGCAAAUACACAUCUCUUAUACCUCCAUGGACUUUUAAUACAGAUAUGUUUAUCAUAAGAUAACCUUCUAAAGAGCUCAUGAUAGCAUAUGAUCAAACUCCUUAUUGUACAGUCAGGAGGAAUCAGCCUUGUUGAAGGAAGGGGCUUACCCAAAGUUACAAGUUGGGACAAAAUUUUUGCUUCCAAUUCACUGCUGUUCUUACUAGAACUGUUUUCUCCAGUCUCAUAGAAGUUCUGAGAAACAAUUAGGCCCACACUAUCAUCAACAGGCAAAUAUGUGUGCCUGACCAGACAGACAGAGAGGUAUUUUGAGAGAGGCCAGGAAUGAAGCUGGUGAAGAGGCCCAGAGUUUCAAUCCUAUUCUCACUCAAGAUUCAUCAUCAUCAUCAUCUUUACUAUAAGGAAGAGGGCAUUUAAAAGCACAAAUGAGAUUGUUAGUGAUAAAAAGGUACUUAUACACCAGCCAAUUCCAUCCUCCAUUUUGCUGAGGCUCAAAGAGGUACAGUGACUUAUCCUCGGUUAUGUAUGCAACUAUUGCAGAGCUGGAUAUUGGACUUAGGCCUCCUGAAGCCCAGCACUGUGCCUGCAAGAGCAUUCCCAACUCCUGUCUUUCUGCUCAAUACAUGGGGAAGAGACGAACAAUUUAGGCUACUCAAAAUGUGGUGGGCAUUUGGGAUCUGGGGAGAGCUUCAGCAUCUCUUCUCUCUUUUCAUGUUCUCCAACUCCUCAAGCAACAUACACACAUACCAUAAAGAUCACUAGCCAGCUAUUUUCUGUCUUGAAAAAUUUUUAUGAUAAGAGUUUUCUAAUUAGGGAAAGCCAUAGUUCAUACACAAAACACAAAUUACUAGGCUCUUUGUCUUUUUCAGAAGAUGUAUUAAUCCAUAAAUAAAUAUACUCUGUUGCCAAGUCACUACCAUGCUGUAUCACAUGGCCAAAGGAUGCCAAAAGGUAUGAGCUCUUGGUGAAUCCCAGCUAUUGACAGCCAGGUGCUGGACCUUAACCAGAGGCAUUGCUAUAGGUGGUUAAGUAUAUGGGCUCUGGUCAGUGGUGACAAAGUUCCUGGGUUCAAAUCCCAACACCUCCAGUUACUAGUUAUGUGACCUUGGACAAGUUGAUUAAAAUCUCUGUACUUCAACUCCUUUAUUUGUAAUAUGGAAAUGAUUUUUUAAAUUACCUAUCUUCUGGGUCUAUUGCAGAAUUAAAUAAGAUAAUCCACUUAAGGCACUAUAUGUGAGUUUUUGCAUGUAGUGAGCACUUGAACCAAUAGAGUAUAUUUCCUUUUGAAUGUAAGAAAUUCACAGAGACAGCUUCUCUAUAAUAAAGUGUCAUUGCAGAUGGAAUCAAGAUGAGGUCACAUGGACGUGACCUUUUUUCAACAUGACUGGUGUCCUCAAAGGAGGGGAAAAUUUUGAUACAGAGAGACACACACAGAGGGGAAAUGAUGAGGAUACACCUAGGAAGAGGACAGCCAUGAGAAGACAGAGGCAGCAAUUGGAGUUAUGCUGCCACAAGCCAAGGAUUACCUGGAGCUACCAGGGGCUAAAAGAUGCAAGGAAGGGUCUCACCUAAACGCCACAGAGAGAGCACAGCCUGGCUGACACCUUCA